AGUGAACGCUGGCGGUAGGCCUAACACAUGCAAGUCGAACGGCAGCACAGUAAGAGCUUGCUCUUACGGGUGGCGAGUGGCGGACGGGUGAGGAAUACAUCGGAAUCUACUUUUUCGUGGGGGAUAACGUAGGGAAACUUACGCUAAUACCGCAUACGACCUACGGGUGAAAGCAGGGGAUCUUCGGACCUUGCGCGAUUGAAUGAGCCGAUGUCGGAUUAGCUAGUUGGCGGGGUAAAGGCCCACCAAGGCGACGAUCCGUAGCUGGUCUGAGAGGAUGAGCAGGCACACUGGAACUGAGACACGGUCCAGACUCCUAAGGGGGGCAGCAGUGGGGAAUAUUGGAGAAUGGGCGCAAGCCUGAUCCAGCCAUACCGCGUGGGUGAAGAAGGCCUUCGGGUUGUAAAGCCCUUUUGUUGGGAAAGCAAAGCAGCAGGUUAAUACCCCGCUGUUCUGACGGUACCCAAAGAAUAAGCACCGGCUAACUUCGUG
rnacentral:rRNA from 1 species